rnacentral:rRNA from 1 species
AGCAGCCGCGGUAAUUCCAGCUCCAAUAGCGUAUAUUAAAGUUGCUGCAGUUAAAAAGCUCGUAGUUGAAUUUCGGGACUAAUAUGUUGGUCGUGCCUCGGUACGUACUGAUAUUUUUUGGUUUCUCCCUUCUGACGAACCUUGAUGUCAUUAAUUUGGUGUCUUGGGAAAUCAGGACUGUUACUUUGAAAAAAAUUAGAGUGUUUAAAGCAAGCUAACGCUUGAAUACGUUAGCAUGGAAUAAUGAAAUAGGACGUUCGAUCCUAUUUUGUUGGUUUCUAGGAUUGACGUAAUGAUUAAUAGGGAUAGUUGGGGGGCAUUAGUAUUCAAUUGUCAGAGGUGAAAAUUCUUGGAUUUAUUGAAGACUAAACUACUGCGAAAGCAUUUGCCAAGGAUGUUUUUCAUUAAUCAAGAACGAAAGUUAGGGGAUCGAAGACGAUCAGAUACCGUCGUAGUCUUAACCAUAAACUAUGCCGACUAGGGAUCGGAUGAUGUUAAUUUUUUUAAUGACUCAUUCGGC